rnacentral:lncRNA from 1 species
CAAACAAUGCAUCUGCUCUCGCAAAUUUCAAUCUAUUGCUAGUUUCUUACAUUCAGCUUGCAGCCAUGAUAGGAAGACAAGUAGUUUCUCAACUCCUAAAAAUAAUGACAUAUGCCUUUUCCAACUACCUUCUAAUAAUGUGCAAGCAAGAUUAAAAUAACUUUAGACUUUUAACUUAAAGCAACAGAUGCUACUAUACCUAUACAUGUAUCUGCUCUAAUUUUAUAGCUAGCUAGGAGCAGAAGUAUUUAAGGCUUUAAGCUGCAGCAACAUGCUCGUUGAUUUUCCUAUGAAGGCGGCAGUCAGUGAAUGAUAACAUCGACUUUGCCAUCUGGUUGUACAUGCUCUCCGAAAUCCUGUAAAGACAAGAAACCUUGAGAAGUUGAAAUUCGGAAUGAAGAAAAUAGCAGAAGAGUUCAGAAAUAAAAAGAAAAACCUCCUUCUCCAAGAAGCUAUGAAGGAUCUUGUUCUCCACUGCUUCUGCGAUUGCUGCACACCUAGGAACUUGUGAUACUUUCCUGAAAUAAGUCAAAUAACAGUACAAUUUUUAUGCAUAACUACUGCCACGUGUCAUAUCAUGAGCCCUUCUGUAUAUUUGGGACGAAUUUCCUGCUGUCAAAGACAAUCUAUUCUUGCACGUUCAAUCUAAACAACCGACUACUGGUCAUUAACAGAUGGUGUUCGUCCAU